UAGAAAUUUGAAACCGAAAUGAAGUAUAUUUCACGAGAUAUUAAGUUGUUUCAAUCGAGAAAUGGAUUUUUAUAUGACAACUAGUCCUACUAGUCCUUUUCCGCCAUAUCAGAUCAGCUUGAAUAUAAAACCCUGCUCUUUCUAACACCAGGGUUUCUUUAAUAAUCCAUAUUUUUCAUACUCUCUCAUCUCAGACAAGCAAAGUUUCUUCUUUGUUUAUUGUAAAACUUGCAAGAAACUAACACGAGGAAAAUUGCGAUGUCGAUGUUCAAAUUGCAAGGAAGGAAGCUUUGUUCUAUCACAGGGUCCAAAUGGUUGGGAUGAUGUAUUGAUCAAAGGCCGCAUGCAGGGAUAAUGUGAAUCCAAUACAAACUGUCAGGGAAAAACAGCUCUAAGUUAUUCACCUAUCACACCUAAAAUACAAUAGAAUUUUAUUUCAAAUGUGGGGAACAUCAUGGUAGAGAUGAACAGGCGCCAUUAUCAAUGUUGAAAUCUAACAUCAGAAAUAUUCCCUGCAUCACAUGCUCUGAAUCAUCGCACGUGGACAACAUGGCUGGUGCAGGUGAACAAGAAUUAUCUCAAAUGUCUUGCGAAGAUUUCACCGAAUUCAAGGAAGCUUUGAAGGUUUUGAGGUUACUCGAUGA
rnacentral:lncRNA from 1 species